rnacentral:rRNA from 1 species
GACGAACGCUGGCGGCGCGCUUAAUACAUGCAAGUCGAGCGAGAACCAGAGCUUCGGCUCUGGGGACAGCGGCGAACGGGUGAGUAACACGUGAGUAAUCUGCCCUCGGCACCGGGAUAGCCCGGGGAAACCCGGAUUAAUACCGGAUGGCCUCUCGAGCUUUCGGGCUCGUGAGAAAAGGUAGCUUCGGCCUCCGGCCGAGGAGGAGCUCGCGGCGGAUUAGCUUGUUGGUGGGGUAACGGCUCACCAAGGCGACGAUCCGUAGCUGGUCUGGGAGGACGAUCAGCCACACUGGGACUGAGAAACGGCCCAGACUCCUACGGGAGGCAGCAGUAGGGAAUCUUGCGCAAUGGGCGAAAGCCUGACGCAGCGACGCCGCGUGCGGGAAGAAGGCCUUCGGGUUGUAAACCGCUUUCAGGAGGGACGAAGCCACUCGGGUUAAUAGCCCAGAGGGUGACGGUACCUCCAGAAGAAGCCCCGGCUAACUACGUGCCAGCAGCCGCCGUAAUAC